rnacentral:rRNA from 1 species
GAGUUUGAUCAUGGCUCAGAUUGAACGCUGGCGGCAGGCCUAACACAUGCAAGUCGAACGGUAACAGGAAGCAGCUUGCUGCUUCGCUGACGAGUGGCGGACGGGUGAGUAAUGUCUGGGAAACUGCCUGAUGGAGGGGGAUAACUACUGGAAACGGUAGCUAAUACCGCAUAACGUCGCAAGACCAAAGAGGGGGACCUUCGGGCCUCUUGCCAUCGGAUGUGCCCAGAUGGGAUUAGCUUGUUGGUGGGGUAACGGCUCACCAAGGCGACGAUCCCUAGCUGGUCUGAGAGGAUGACCAGCCACACUGGAACUGAGACACGGUCCAGACUCCUACGGGAGCAGCAGUGGGGAAUAUUGCACAAUGGGCGCAAGCCUGAUGCAGCCAUGCCGCGUGUAUGAAGAAGGCCUUCGGGUUGUAAAGUACUUUCAGCGGGGAGGAAGGGAGUAAAGUUAAUACCUUUGCUCAUUGACGUUACCCGCAGAAGAAGCACCGGCUAACUCCGUGCCAGCAGCCGCGGUAAUACGGAGGGUGCAAGCGUUAAUCGGAAUUACUGGGCGUAAAGCGCACGCAGGCGGUUUGUUAAGUCAGAUGUGAAAUCCCCGGGCUCAACCUGGGAACUGCAUCUGAUACUGGCAAGCUUGAGUCUCGUAGAGGGGGGUAGAAUUCCAGGUGUAGCGGUGAAAUGCGUAGAGAUCUGGAGGAAUACCGGUGGCGAAGGCGGCCCCCUGGACGAAGACUGACGCUCAGGUGCGAAAGCGUGGGGAGCAAACAGGAUUAGAUACCCUGGUAGUCCACGCCGUAAACGAUGUCGACUUGGAGGUUGUGCCCUUGAGGCGUGGCUUCCGGAGCUAACGCGUUAAGUCGACCGCCUGGGGAGUACGGCCGCAAGGUUAAAACUCAAAUGAAUUGACGGGGGCCCGCACAAGCGGUGGAGCAUGUGGUUUAAUUCGAUGCAACGCGAAGAACCUUACCUGGUCUUGACAUCCACAGAACUUUCCAGAGAUGGAUUGGUGCCUUCGGGAACUGUGAGACAGGUGCUGCAUGGCUGUCGUCAGCUCGUGUUGUGAAAUGUUGGGUUAAGUCCCGCAACGAGCGCAACCCUUAUCCUUUGUUGCCAGCGGUCCGGCCGGGAACUCAAAGGAGACUGCCAGUGAUAAACUGGAGGAAGGUGGGGAUGACGUCAAGUCAUCAUGGCCCUUACGACCAGGGCUACACACGUGCUACAAUGGCGCAUACAAAGAGAAGCGACCUCGCGAGAGCAAGCGGACCUCAUAAAGUGCGUCGUAGUCCGGAUUGGAGUCUGCAACUCGACUCCAUGAAGUCGGAAUCGCUAGUAAUCGUGGAUCAGAAUGCCACGGUGAAUACGUUCCCGGGCCUUGUACACACCGCCCGUCACACCAUGGGAGUGGGUUGCAAAAGAAGUAGGUAGCUUAACCUUCGGGAGGGCGCUUACCACUUUGUGAUUCAUGACUGGGGUGAAGUCGUAACAAGGUAACCGUAGGGGAACCUGCGGUUGGAUCACC